AUUGAACGCUGACGGCAUGCUUUACACAUGCAAGUCGAACGGUAACAGGUUAAGCUGACGAGUGGCGAACGGGUGAGUAAUGCAUCGGAACGUGCCCAGUCGUGGGGGAUAACGCAGCGAAAGCUGUGCUAAUACCGCAUACGAUCUAUGGAUGAAAGCGGGGGACCGUAAGGCCUCGCGCGAUUGGAGCGGCCGAUGUCAGAUUAGCUAGUUGGUGGGGUAAAGGCUCACCAAGGCGACGAUCGGUAGCCGACCUGAGAGGGUGAUCGGCCACACUGGAACUGAGACACGGUCCAGACUCCUACGGGAGGCAGCAGUGGGGAAUAUUGCGCAAUGGGCGAAAGCCUGACGCAGCGACGCCGCGUGAGGGAUGAAGGUCUUCGGAUUGUAAACCUCUUUCAGCAGGGACGAAGCGAAAGUGACGGUACCUGAAGAAGAAGCACCGGCUAACUACGUG
rnacentral:rRNA from 1 species